rnacentral:snRNA from 1 species
AUCGCUUCUCGGCCUUUUGGCUAAGAUCAUGUGUAGUAUCUGUUCUUAUCAGUUUAAUAUCUGAUACGUCCUCUAUCCAUAUGGUCCCCCUAGUGCCUCCAGGAGUAAUUCCUAAGUGCAUGAUGCAGGAGUAACACCUGUGCAAC